rnacentral:rRNA from 1 species
GUUAAAAAGCUCGUAGUUGGAUUUCGGAGUGGGCAAGUUGGUCCGCCGCAAGGUGUGUUACUGACUUGUUUGCUCUUCUUCGCAAAGACUGCGUGUGCUCUUUGUUGAGUGUGCGUAGGAUUUACGACGUUUACUUUGAAAAAAUUAGAGUGUUCAAAGCAGGCUAUUGCUUGAAUACAUGAGCAUGGAAUAAUGGAAUAGGACUUUGGUCCCAUUUUGUUGGUUUCUAGGACCGAAGUAAUGAUUAAGAGGGACAAUUGGGGGCAUCCGUAUUUCGUUGUCAGAGGUGAAAUUCUUGGAUUUACGAAAGACGAACAACUGCGAAAGCACUUGCCAAGAGUGUUUUCAUUAAUCAAGAACGAAAGUUAGAGGAUCGAAGACGAUCAGAUACCGUCCUAGUUCUAACCAUAAACGAUGUCGAUUAGGGAUCAGCGGGCGUUAUCGUACGACCCCGUUGGCACCUUACGGGAAACCAAAAUUUCUGGAUUCCGGGGGAAGUAUAGUCGCAAGGCCGAAACUUAAAGGAAUUGACGGAAGGGCACCACCAGGAGUGGAGCCUGUGGCUCAAUUUGACUCAACACGGGAAAACUUACCAGGUCCAGACAUAGUAAGGAUUGACAGGUUGAGAGCCCUUUCUUGAUUCUAUGGGU